UGCUAUGUAUUAUAUUCUAUAGUUUUACUAGCAAGUUUUUUUGUGUUCAGAGAUUUGUGUUUAUAUAUAGGUAUUUAAGUGGGAAAUCACUGAAUGUAAUGAAAAUAAUGCCCGAACAUGUUCCAGUGAUUAAAAAAAAAAACCCAGAUAAUUAGCUUUCUAUGUAUCCUUCUUUUUCCUUUUUAUUUUAAAGCAUCAAUAUCAAUUUUGUAAAGAAACUUUUUUUUUUUUACUUGUAAUAUAAACCCAUAAUAAAUGCUUUGAAAAAGGUAGGGUGAGAAAGAUGUGAAUGCCAAAAAUGGUUCUUAUAAUUUGAUGAUAUAUUUAUUAUGUGGUAUUAGAUUAGUGGAAGUGAAUGUGGUGCAGUCAUCAUAUGGCCUUUGUACAUAUCAAUUUACUUGCAUCAUCAGUGAUCUUGUGCUUAAGAUUUCUCAUCUGUACUUAGAUUUUUAAAAAAAAUAAAAUAUAGAUCCUUAUUUUGUGCUGUUUCAUGUAAUGUGGUAUUAACUCUUAACGUUUUUUGUAAUGUAGUAAAACAGAUGUUGUAACAUGUAUACUACAUGUACUUCUUGUGAAUUGCUCUGGUUCAGAGACAACAAAUAUGGCCAGGGAUCUCAUAAAAAUUCAUUCCUAGUUAUCCAUCCAUCUGAAUAUUAUAUGUACAGUGUUUAAUAUACAUGUAUCUUAAGUUCAUGUGGUAAUCUCAGUCUCCACAAAUAGCUGUCGAGACUGGGAAACAAAUACAUUGUCAUCAAGAACAUUACUACCUGAUUGAUGUGUGUAUAGUUUUAAUAUUUAGUAGUGGACAGUCAAUUCUUUUCUAAACAUCAGUCAUUUUAUGAAACAAUCAAUUGUCAUUUUUUCCACAGAUUCCCUGCUUAUGAUGUAAAAUGACUAUCAUAUUUUUUUGUUAUGUGGUACAUGUAUGUACAACCAAAUAAAGAUGUCAACAUG
rnacentral:misc_RNA from 1 species